AUUUUAAUAAAAGUUGCCGAAGACAGCAGGUGCGUAAGCGUAAGUUGAGAGACGCCUGCCGAGGAAUGUUAGAUUUGUUAGAGACGAAUUUACAACACCUUUGUGUCUUUGGAUGCGAAGGUGUUUUUUUG
rnacentral:sRNA from 1 species